rnacentral:rRNA from 1 species
AAAUGAAUUGACGGGGGCCCGCACAAGCGGUGGAGCAUGUGGUUUAAUUCGACGCAACGCGAAGAACCUUACCUGGGUUUGACAUCCCGAUCGCACCCCAUGGAAACAUGGGGGUCAGUUCGGCUGGAUCGGUGACAGGUGCUGCAUGGCUGUCGUCAGCUCGUGUCGUGAGAUGUUGGGUUAAGUCCCGCAACGAGCGCAACCCUUGUCCUUGGUUGCCAUCAUUAAGUUGGGCACUUUAAGGAGACUGCCGGUGUUAAACCGGAGGAAGGUGGGGAUGACGUCAAGUCCUCAUGGCCCUUAUAUCCAGGGCUACACACGUGCUACAAUGGCCGGUACAAAAGGCUGCUAUACCGCGAGGUAAAGCUAAUCCCAAAAGCCGGUCUCAGUUCGGAUUGGAGUCUGCAACCCGACUCCAUGAAGUUGGAAUCGCUAGUAAUCGCGUAUCAGCAUGACGCGGUGAAUACGUUCCCGGGCCUUGUACACACCGCCCGU